GACGAACGCUGGCGGCGUGCUUAACACAUGCAAGUCGAACGGAAAGGCCCUGCUUUUGUGGGGUGCUCGAGCGGCGAACGGGUGAGUAACACGUGAGUAACCUGCCCUUGACUUUGGGAUAACUUCAGGAAACUGGGGCUAAUACCGGAUAGGAGCUCCUGCUGCAUGGUGGGGGUUGGAAAGUUUCGGCGGUUGGGGAUGGACUCGCGGCUUAUCAGCUUGUUGGUGGGGUAGUGGCUUACCAAGGCUUUGACGGGUAGCCGGCCUGAGAGGGUGACCGGCCACAUUGGGACUGGGAUACGGCCCAGACUCCUACGGGAGGCAGCAGUGGGGAAUAUUGCACAAUGGGCGGAAGCCUGAUGCAGCAACGCCGCGUGCGGGAUGACGGCCUUCGGGUUGUAAACCGCUUUCGCCUGUGACGAAGCGUGAGUGACGGUAAUGGGUAAAGAAGCACCGGCUAACUACGUG
rnacentral:rRNA from 1 species